rnacentral:rRNA from 1 species
CUUCGGGUGAAGGUGGCGGACGGGUGAGUAACGCGUAAAGAACUUGCCUUACAGACUGGGACAACAUUUGGAAACGAAUGCUAAUACCGGAUAUUAUGAUUGGGUCGCAUGAUCUGAUUAUGAAAGCUAUAUGCGCUGUGAGAGAGCUUUGCGUCCCAUUAGUUAGUUGGUGAGGUAACGGCUCACCAAGACGAUGAUGGGUAGCCGGCCUGAGAGGGUGAACGGCCACAAGGGGACUGAGACACGGCCCUUACUCCUACGGGAGGCAGCAGUGGGGAAUAUUGGACAAUGGACCAAAAGUCUGAUCCAGCAAUUCUGUGUGCACGAAGAAGUUUUUCGGAAUGUAAAGUGCUUUCAGUUGGGAAGAAGUCAGUGACGGUACCAACAGAAGAAGCGACGGCUAAAUACGUGCCAGCAGCCGCGGUAAUACGUAUGUCGCAAGCGUUAUCCGGAUUUAUUGGGCGUAAAGCGCGUCUAGGCGGCUUAGUAAGUCUGAUGUGAAAAUGCGGGGCUCAACCCCGUAUUGCGUUGGAAACUGCUAAACUAGAGUACUGGAGAGGUAGGCGGAACUACAAGUGUAGAGGUGAAAUUCGUAGAUAUUUGUAGGAAUGCCGAUGGGGAAGCC